rnacentral:rRNA from 1 species
UACCAGCACCCCGAGUGGUCGGGACGAUUAUUGGGCCUAAAGCAUCCGUAGCCGGUCCUACAAGUCUUCCGUUAAAUCCACCUGCUUAACAGAUGGGCUGCGGAAGAUACUAUAGGGCUAGGAGGCGGGAGAGGCAAGCGGUACUCAGUGGGUAGGGGUAAAAUCCUCUGAUCCAUUGAAGACCACCAGUGGCGAAGGCGGCUUGCCAGAACGCGCUCGACGGUGAGGGAUGAAAGCUGGGGUAGCAAACCGG